GACGUAGGAGGCGAGCGUUGUCCGGAUUCAUUGGGCGUAAAGAGCGCGCAGGCGGCUUGGUAAGUCGGAUGUGAAAACCCGAGGCUCAACCUCGGGCGUGCAUCCGAAACUGCUCGGCUAGAGGUAGGUAGGGGAGAUCGGAAUUCCUGGUGUAGCGGUGAAAUGCGCAGAUAUCAGGAAGAACACCUAUGGCGAAGGCAGCUCUCUGGGACGGUACUGACGCUGAGACGCGAAAGCGUGGGGAGCGAACAGG
rnacentral:rRNA from 1 species